rnacentral:rRNA from 1 species
UACGUAGGGUGCAGGCGUUAAUCGGAAUUACUGGGCGUAAAGCGUGCGCAGGCGGUUUGCUAAGACAGGUGUGAAAUCCCCGGGCUUAACCUGGGAACUGCGCUUGUAACUGGCAAGCUAGAGUGUGGCAGAGGGAGGUGGAAUUCCACGUGUAGCAGUGAAAUGCGUAGAGAUGUGGAGGAACACCGAUGGCGAAGGCAGCCCCCUGGGCUAACACUGACGCUCAUGCACGAAAGCGUGGGGAGCAAACAGG